GGGGGGGGGGGGCGUUGGCUGUGUGUGCCCAAAUCAGAGUGAUGUCACGAGAGUCUGUGCUCACACAUCCGUUUCCCCUCUAUUGUAUUUGUAUGUGUGUUGUUCUUUGUAUUAGUGUGUGUUUUUGUUUUGUGACUUGGUUGAAGAAGAUGAUCAGCAAUGUCUCUCUUUUUUGUAUUUUUCGUUAGUUUUUUGUGAGAGAUAUGAGGAGAGUUGGGGUGUGCUCUCCAAGAGUAAGAGAACUUCGAUGGGGCAGGGGGGCAUCUCUCCGCGCAGCUGAAGCCUUUUUUUUCUCUUUGCAUUUGUGUUUUUUUGUGUUUAUAUAGGUAGAGUCUAGGUUUAGAGUAUAUUUUGUGUAUUUCGUAAAUUAGUUCCUAGAUUUUUCUGUAUUAGGUCCUUAGGGUCUU
rnacentral:lncRNA from 1 species